AUACAAAUAAAAUAGAAAAGAGAAAAGGGGGAAAAAGAUAUGUUUCAUAGAAAUAGCUUGAUGAGUUUUUUGUU
rnacentral:ribozyme from 12 species